rnacentral:ncRNA from 1 species
CGAACAGCGAUGAACGGGAUUAGUAUAUAUGAGGGAAUGCCACAGAGAGAAGGCGGAUGGUGCGAGCCUUUUGCAGGACUGUAUAGAACCGGCCCGGGAGCUUCUGCAUGAAAAUGCAGCGUACGUUCCGCGUUAAGGACGUAAGAGUGAACCGCGCAUAAGUGCAGUUAAUUAGGGUGGUACCGCCGGGAUAUCCGGUCCCUUGU